rnacentral:rRNA from 1 species
GACGGAGGAUGCAAGCGUUAUCCGGAAUGAUUGGGCGUAAAGCGUCCGCAGGUGGCAGUUCAAGUCUGCUGUCAAAGACCGGGGCUUAACCCUGGAAAGGCCGUGGAAACUGAAACGCUAGAGUGCAGUAGGGGUAGAGGGAAUUCCCGGUGUAGCGGUGAAAUGCGUAGAGCUCGGGAAGAACAUCGGUGGCGAAAGCGCUCUGCUGGACUGCAACUGACACUCGGGGACGAAAGCUAGGGGAGCGAACGGG